rnacentral:rRNA from 1 species
UGCUCUCCGAUUGAUGGCUUAGUGAGGCCUUCGGAUUGGUUUAAAGAAGGGGGCAACUCCAUCUUGGAACUGAAAAGUUGGUCAAACUUGGUCAUUUAGAGGAAGUAAAAGUCGUAACAAGGUUUCCGUAGGUGAACCUGCGGAAGGAUCAUUACAGUAUCUUUUUACCAGCGCUUAAUUGCGCGGUGAAAAACCUUACACACUGUGUUUUUUGUUAUUAAAACAUUUCUUUGGUCUGGACAUCUGUUCGGGCCAGAGGCUACAACACGAAACUUCAAUUUUAUUGAACUUUUAUUUAAUUAUUUGUCAAUUUGUUGAUUAAUUUCAAAAAAUCUUCAAAACUUUCAACAACGGAUCUCUUGGUUCUCGCAUCGAUGAAGAACGCAGCGAAAUGCGAUAAGUAAUAUGAAUUGCAGAUUUUCGUGAAUCAUCGAAUCUUUGAACGCACAUUGCGCCCUUUGGUAUUCCAAAGGGCAUGCCUGUUUGAGCGUCAUUUCUCUCUCAAACCUUCGGGUUUGGUAUUGAGUGAUACUCUUAGUCAAGCUAAGUGUUUGCUUAAAAUGUAUCGGCAUAAGUAGUACUAGAUAGUGCUGUUUGACAAUUUCAAUGUAUUAGGUUUAUCCAACUCGUUGAAUGGUCUUGCUUAGGUUUAUCCAACUCGUUGAAUGGUCUUGCGGUGAGUUUCUGGUAAUUUGGCUUGGCCUUACAACAAACCACAAAGUUUGACCUCAAAUCAGGUAGGAAUACCCGCUGAACUUAAGCAUAUCAAUAAGCGGAGGAAAAGAAACCAACAGGGAUUGCCUUAGUAACGGCGAGUGAAGCGGCAAAAGCUCAAAUUUGAAAUCUGGCACCUUCGGUGUCCGAGUUGUAAUUUGUAGAAGGUAACUUUGGAAUUGGCUCUUGUCUAUGUUCCUUGGAACAGGACGUCACAGAGGGUGAGAAUCCCGUGCGAUGAGAUGUCCAAUUCUAUGUAAAGUGCUUUCGAAGAGUCGAGUUGUUUGGGAAUGCAGCUCUAAGUGGGUGGUAAAUUCCAUCUAAAGCUAAAUAUUGGCGAGAGACCGAUAGCGAACAAGUACAGUGAUGGAAAGAUGAAAAGAACUUUGAAAAGAGAGUGAAAAAGUACGUGAAAUUGUUGAAAGGGAAGGGCUUGAGAUCAGAUUGGUAUUUUGCGUUCCUUCCUCUCGUGGGUUGGUUCCUCGCAGUUUACCGGGCCAACAUCGGUUUGGAUGGUAGGAAAAUGACAGUUGAAUGUAGCACUACUUCGGUGGUGUAUUAUAGCUUCUGUUGAUACUGCCUGUCUAGACCGAGGACUGCGUCUUUGACUAGGAUGUUGGCAUAAUGAUCUUAAGUCGCCCGUCUUGAAACACGGACCAAGGAGUCUAACGUCUAUGCGAGUGUUUGGGUGUAAA